rnacentral:rRNA from 1 species
UACGAAGGGGGCUAGCGUUGUUCGGAAUCACUGGGCGUAAAGCGCACGUAGGCGGAUCUUUAAGUCAGAGGUGAAAUCCCAAGGCUCAACCUUGGAACUGCCUUCGAUACUGGAGAGCUCGAGUCCGGGAGAGGUGAGUGGAACUGCGAGUGUAGAGGUGAAAUUCGUAGAUAUUCGCAAGAACACCAGUGGCGAAGGCGGCUCACUGGCCCGGUACUGACGCUGAGGUGCGAAAGCGUGGGGAGCAAACAGG